UACGUAGGGGGCUAGCGUUGUCCGGAUUCAUUGGGCGUAAAGAGCGUGUCGGCGGCCAGGUAGGUCGGUUGUGAAAACUGGAGGCUCAACCUUCAGAGGUCGACCGAAACCAUCUGGCUAGAGUCCGGGAGAGGAGAGUGGAAUUCCUGGUGUAGCGGUGAAAUGCGCAGAUAUCAGGAAGAACACCCGUGGCGAAAGCGGCUCUCUGGAACGGUACUGACGCUGAGACGCGAAAGCGUGGGGAGCGAACAGG
rnacentral:rRNA from 1 species